UUGCCUGGUAACUUCCUCCUUCCGCGCUUUGUGUGUGUGUGUGUGUGUGUGUGUGUGUGUGUGUGUUUCUCUGUUCCUUCUCCAUGUGCUUAUUUCCUGUAUUUGCAGCACUGGCUGAAAAUCACAGACUUCUAGACCUUUCAUUUCAAAAGAACACAACAGGAACAGACUUCAGUUUAUAAAUGACAGAUAAUGCAGGAUUAUUCCUGAUUGUUUGCAGCAGUUAAUGAACCUUUGAUGUAGUUUGCAGAACUAGAGCACUGAAUGAGGAUGUGAAAGAGACUGUUUAAUGUGUGGCGCUUUUGUCAGCAAUGGUCCACAAAAGCAACUUCACAUGUUGCCUGGACAGAAGCGACAAAUAUAGUGAUUAAUAUUGUGUAUUUUGCAUUUGAUUUGGAUUGCCAACAUGUGAGAAUGCAUUAAAGUCAACAUGAAAUCAUGCACCACCAUCCCCCACCUGUUGUGACAGACCCCUUAUCUUACUUUCCCAAAGUAAGAGUUUUAUUAUUUUUAUCAUGUCAGAUGAGUAGAACUCAUGUGUAUGACGUGUAUCUGAACAAAUCUAUUCUUAUGUGUGUGUUGAACUUUCACAUGUAACCAGUCUUGAGGAGUAACGGAAUACUUAUAACGGUGUUAUAUAAUCAGGAUACAAAAAAUGUGUAACUGUAAUCUGUUACAGUUACAUAAAAACUCAACAUAUUCAGAUUACAGAUACAUUUGGUAAAAAUUGGGAUUACAAGCAGGAUUACAAUUUUCAAUAUGUAAAAAAAUAAACAAAAGAUCCUCCUGACAUAAAAUGAUAAAGACCGCUUCUUGCUUUAUAAUGGUACAGAUAUGAUCAGAUGCGCGCUGGAGAUCUCUUCUGGUUCUCUCUUGUGAAUCUGCCGCCAUUUACUGUCGCAUGUGUAAAUAACAGCUGUCUCACAUCAACACUGUGCUCUCGAGGCAAACCAAUAAAAGUGCUGUUUCGGGGUCUGUUUCAUGAGUUCGAAUCCAGGGCGUGCUGAGUGACUCCAUCCAGGUCUCCUAAGCAAGUGAUUUUCGUUGUUUUAUCGAAUGGCCACUGGAGAAAUAUUAUAAUUUUUGUGGAAAUUCUGACAUUCUUGUGACUUCAAUGGAGAAAAAGGAAACAACAUUACACUUCAGUGCAAUUUAUACCUUCCAGUUGUGAAGAUGCAGUGUUUUUCCAAGGACACGAUACAUCAUUUAAAGAAGCAUUUAAAGACCGUCUGUCGAUCGUUUUCACGGGAGCAGGAAUAGAAGCUGAGAAACGACCACUCCCCCCAGCGAACGGAUAGUAUUCAGGUUGCAAUCUCGUGAGGGACAGAUGCCAAAAUGUUUCUGAUCCCCCUGCUUCAAGCCAGGACAACGGAUUGACCAUGCAGGGGAUGGGUGCGAAGGCAGUCUAAAGGGGCCAUUUACACCUCACAGCACUACACAAACAAAAAAUAGCUAUAUGGCCUCCUGGUUUAGCGCCGGAACCAAAUUGUGCAACACCAAUAGCUCUAGAACAGGUUCCAUCCAUCUCCCAGACAUGAACAUACAGAGCACACACUUUCAUCACUACACUCUCAUGACAUCUUUACCUGGUACAGACAGUAAAACUAGCCAGGCUCAACCACUACACAUCAUGGGACAAAAUAAUGGCCAAGAUUCCGAAAGUACUAAUCCACUGAAGAUCUGGCCUCCCUCUCACAAACACGACAUUACAAACCUGUUUCCAUUUAACAGUUAUAAUUAUGGCACACAUGACAUUCACUAUUUACAACUUCCCAACAACUUAUUUGAAACACUGUAAUGUACAUGGGACAUGUGCAUGGCUACAGUCACACAUCAAUGAUUUAAUUACUAAUUGCAAGCAAACUUGCCACCGAAAUUUUAACAUUUACACCUACGUAUAAAUAAAAACAAUUGAUUGUUGGUAGCAUGGUUGCAAACCAGAAAGCCCCUGGUUUUCAACACAUUACUAAUAACAAUGCAAAUGUAAUAAGAAGUGGAUGAUAUGAAGUGCAGACACUUCUGUCGAUCCACUACACACUUUGAAAAUAGACAUGCAUCAUCGAUUGUGACUUAGCCAGCAAAUCACACACAUUGGAUAACUUUGAAUUAGCACUGUGAUUAUUAUUAUAUAUGUUUGUAACUGUGAUUCUACAAUCAUAGAAUUAUAAUUAUUACUAUAUGCUUAAUGAUGCAUACCACUGGUGAAAAUACUAGUUAUACUUGUAGUAUGUUUCUUUUAAUUUAUUCAGACCAAGUAUCCACUGUAAUUAUGUAUACUGGUGAUGAAUGUUCAUAUUACCUUUGUUUCCUUGCCAUCUUUUUCUUUAAUCCAUCCAGAUCAUGUUUUCCAAAUUCAAAAUGGGAUCACCUUACUGGAUACAUGACCUUGAAGGGUACUGAGACCUUGUUUACCAGUCGCACAUGUUGUUAUGAAACUCAUAACUAUGUUGUUUGUACAUGUAACACCUUACAACCUUUUUCUCAUAACGACACUAAACUCAUAAAUGUUCAGUCAUUGCAUGGCCAUUCUGAUGCUGUCCAGGUGUCACAUACUCAGUGGUGUGUCGUCAAUGAGAUGAAUUCCUUCACUUAUGGAGGACUGACCUGUCCUGCCAAUCACUCCUUUGCUUGGAGGUAACAGAGGACUUUUCUAUGGGUCAGAUCAACAUCCUAGGGAGGAUACCACUGGACACUGAAGUUUCCCCAUGGUGGGAUGACACACUCUACGAGCACAGCGCACAAGCUGUGGCAGACACAAUGGACUUGGCACAAAGAAUGAUCCUGCAGAUGGAAUACUACCUCAACCAGGCACAGAUAGAUACAAAUCUGGCCAAAAAGACUGCACAGAUCCUCUCCAGUUCCUCUAAACACUCAGCACUGUAUUGCUAUUGCUGUAUUGUACUGCUAUUUCAGAUGCCUCAUCAGAUCCGUACGAACAUCAACCAACACAGCACUGGCCCUCAGCCCACUGCAUCUGCACAUGCUUCAACGACUAAGAUAAACAAUUUUUGACUAAGACCCAGCAGACAUUUUACAAUGACCCCACCUGGACAUUUCUGGAACUGUCCCUGGUGGGGGCCAAGCAGAGGAACUGCAAGACUGGCACAAAAUUGUCUGCAUCACUUCUGGGAAAGUCAAAGAUCUCUGCGAGAACCAACGUAAUAAAACUCUCACACAGAGGAGCAUCUCCACCUGAGAAAACACACCCCACUGAUUAGGGACCAUAAAACUCAAACCACACUCACAUCUGCUCUCUCUCUCACCUCAGGUCACUUUAAGGACACCAGAAAACUAAGUUAUGACUUAUCCUGUUCUGUAAUGUAAAAGGUUUUUUGAACAUACAUGUUUGGUUUCAUUCAAGAGGUCUCGGUGCAACUGGUAAAACAGUCUCAUUCCCUUGCAGCAAAGUCUAAUCACAAGUAAGAUUUAAGAACUUUAACUAUCAGGGGCAUGACCACUCCCAGAUCUCUCACAGAGACCGGAUGCUGUAUGCAGAUUAGGUGCAUUCUUUGUAAACAUCAAACGACCUACUCCUUCACAACUUUCAAAGGUCUACUCACAACUCCCUAAAUUGUAAACCAAAUCCUAAAUAACAUCAAACAUACACAUCUGAAACAACAAUAGAAUCGUUUUGUACUUAAAGAAGGAUGGCAGAGGAGCUCAAAGGCUCUGCAGCCAGAUGACCCACACAGAAAACAUUGUGUGUCGUUUUUUUAAAUCUACCAGGGAAUCUGUAUUCAGAUCUCCCACACAAUUGCUGUGUGUAAUAACUUAAAGGAAUCAAGGUCUCUGUAUCCAGAAGACCCACACAGAAAACAUUGUGUGUAGUUUUCUCUACCAUGUAUGCAAAUCUUAUUUCUUAUGUUUGGUAAAUGUUUAAAUGGAAUGCAACUUUAUUAUGCUUGGUUCACUGAUAGCUUUGAAUUUGAUUUAUUAUUUUAAUUGGAUUGUUUGAAUGUAUUACUAUUACUUGGUAAAAUAAUUUGUUAUAAUGAUUCAUUCUGAAGGAUGGAUUUUCGAUUAGCUGUUAAGAUGUUCGGAUUAGCCAGUUUGUCUGCUUCCUGACCUGGGCUCCAGUUAGUCAAAUACUAUCACUAUUAAGACGAUGAGCCAAAUUACUAGAGAGGAGAGUGGCACCUUCCCUGGAGGGAUGGAGUCCAUCUCUUUUUAGCAGGUCAGGUCUACCCCAAAAACUCUAACAAUUGUCUAUAAAUCCUUUGCUAUUCUUCGGACACCACUCAGACAUCCAGUCGUUCAGUGACUCUAAUCUACUAUAAACCUCGUCACCAUGAUGAGCAGGGAGGGGGCCAGAGCAUAUUACAGUGUCUGACAUCGUUUUUGCAAGUUCACACACCUCUUUAACAUUAUCUCUAGUGAUCUCCGACUGGCAAAGCUGGACAUCGUUAGUGCCGACAUGAAUAACAAUUUUAGAAAAUCUACAUUUAGCAUUAGCCAGCAUUUGUAAAUUUGAUCUGAUGUCAGAUGCUCUGACACUGGAAAUGCAUUUUACACAGCUUUAAAAGGGGCUUAUCCAAUCAGAGUUUAGAAUCUAAAAUGUCAGUUUUAUAAAUAUACAUGCAAAUGACAAACUUAAGUUAGUAGAAGGUUAAAUAUUCAUUAAUCAGUUUUACAAUGUUUUGAAUGAAAUUCUGCACACACACAAAUAAAAAAAAAUAAAUAUUUAUCCAAUUUGUCAAAAUCUGAAACCGUGAGAAAAAUUUUGUUUAUACUUGGCAAGAUAAUUGAAAGGCAGGUUUGGAUUUGUUCGGCAUUGAAUGGUUGUGGUCAAAGCUAAGCGCUCCCUAAAUCCAACAGCUCAAGUGUUCAGUGGGAAAGCUUUUCUUCUAUUGUAUGUAGUAAAUCAGGCUGAAAAUGUUGUAUAGAAGUGUGAAAUGGAUCUUGUAAAUAAUAUGUUAUGUCAAUUUUGUGAAAUAGAGUCAUUUGUUGUUUUCUAUGAAUGAGCAGCCUCUAUUUACCCAUUGUAUAAUGUAUUACCUAUAUGUACAGGUGCAUCUCAAUAAAUUAGAAUGUCGUGGAAAAGUUCAUUUAUUUCAGUAAUUCAACUCAAAUUGUGAAACUCGUGUAUUAAAUAAAUUCAGUGCACACAGAC